rnacentral:rRNA from 1 species
GACGAACGCUGGCGGCGUGCUUAACACAUGCAAGUCGAACGGAAAGGCCCUGCUUUUGUGGGGUGCUCGAGUGGCGAACGGGUGAGUAACACGUGAGUAACCUUCCCUUGACUUUGGGAUAACUUCAGGAAACUGGGGCUAAUACCGGAUAGGAGCUCCUGCUGCAUGGUGGGGGUUGGAAAGUUUCGGCGGUUGGGGAUGGACUCGCGGCUUAUCAGCUUGUUGGUGGGGUAGUGGCUUACCAAGGCUUUGACGGGUAGCCGGCCUGAGAGGGUGACCGGCCACAUUGGGACUGAGGGAGGGCCCAGACUCCUACGGGAGGCAGCAGUGGGGAAUAUUGCACAGUGGGCGGAAGCCUGAUGCAGAAACGCCGCGUGCGGGAUGACGGCCUUCGGGUUGUAAACCGCUUUCGCCUGUGACGAAGCGUGAGUGACGGUAAUGGGUAAAGAAGCACCGGCUAACUACGUG